rnacentral:rRNA from 1 species
GACGAACCGUACGAACGUUAUUCGGAAUUACUGGGCUUAAAGGGUGCGUAGGCGGCGCAGUAAGUUUGGGUGUGAAAUCCCUCGGCUUAACCGAGGAAUUGCGCCCAAAACUACUGUGCUCGAGGGAGGUAGAGGUGAGCGGAACUUAGGGUGGAGCGGUGAAAUGCGUUUGAUAUCCACAGGAACUCCGGUGGCGAAGGCGGCACGCUGGACCCCUUUCUGACGCUGAGGCGCGAAAGCCAGGGGAGCGAACGGG